UACGUAGGCAGCAAGCGUUGUUCGGAAUUACUGGGCGUAAAGAGUGUGCAGGCGGUGUUCUAAGUUUGUCGUGAAAUCUCCCGGCUUAACUGGGAGGGUGCGGCGAAAACUGGAAUGCUAGAGGAUGGGAGAGGUAAGCGGAAUUCCUGGUGUAGCGGUGAAAUGCGUAGAUAUCAGGAGGAACACCUGUGGUGUAGACAGCUUACUGGACCAUUUCUGACGCUGAGACACGAAAGCGUGGGUAGCAAACAGG
rnacentral:rRNA from 1 species